rnacentral:rRNA from 1 species
UGCAAGUCGAACGAACCCUUCGGGGUUAGUGGCGCACGGGUGCGUUAACGCGUGGGAACCUGCCUUUAGGUUCGGAAUAACAGUUAGAAAUGACUGCUAAUACCGGAUAAUGUCUUCGGACCAAAGAUUUAUCGCCUUUAGAUGGGCCCGCGUUAGAUUAGAUAGUUGGUGGGGUAAUGGCCUACCAAGUCGACGAUCUAUAGCUGGUCUGAGAGGAUGAUCAGCCACACUGGGACUGAGACACGGCCCAGACCCCUACGGGAGGCAGCAGUGGGGAAUAUUGGACAAUGGGGGGAACCCUGAUCCAGCCAUGCCGCGUGUGUGAAGAAGGCCUUAUGGUUGUAAAGCACUUUAAGCGAGGAGGAGGCUACUAGUAUUAAUACUACUGGAUAGUGGACGUUACUCGCAGAAUAAGCACCGGCUAACUCUGUGCCAGCAGCCGCGGUAAU